AACUGCGAGUGAAGCGGGAAAAGCUCAAAUUUAAAAUCUGGUGGUCUUUAGGCCAUCCGAGUUGUAAUUUAGAGAAGCGUCUUCCGCGCCGGACCGUGCACAAGUCUCCUGGAAUGGAGCGUCAUAGAGGGUGAGAAUCCCGUCUUUGGCACGGAACCCCUGGUGCUUCUGUGAUGCGCUCUCGAAGAGUCGAGUUGUUUGGGAAUGCAGCUCAAAAUGGGUGGUGAACUCCAUCUAAAGCUAAAUAUUGGCGAGAGACCGAUAGCGAACAAGUACCGUGAGGGAAAGAUGAAAAGCACUUUGGAAAGAGAGUGAAACAGUACGUGAAAUUGUUGAAAGGGAAACGCUUGGAGUCAGUCGCGUUGGCCAAGACUCAGCCUUGCCUUGGCUUGGUGUACUUCUUGGCCGACGGGCCAGCAUCGAUUUUGCCCCUCAGAUAAUGGCGAGGGAAAGGUGGCACCUUUGCGGGUGUGUUAUAGUCCCUUGUCGCAUGUGAGGGGUGGGAUCGAGGAACUCAGCACGCACCUUUUGGUGUCGGGGCUUCGGCCC
rnacentral:rRNA from 1 species